rnacentral:rRNA from 1 species
UAGAGUUUGAUCAUGGCUCAGGAUGAACGCUAGCGGCAGGCUUAACACAUGCAAGUCGAGGGGCAUCGGGAGGAAAGCUUGCUUUCCUUGCCGGCGACCGGCGCACGGGUGAGUAACACGUAUGCAACCUGCCCUCUUCAGGGGGACAACCUUCCGAAAGGGAGGCUAAUCCCGCGUAUAUCGGUUUCGGGCAUCCGAGAUCGAGGAAAGAUUCAUCGGAAGAGGAUGGGCAUGCGGCGCAUUAGCUUGACGGCGGGGUAACGGCCCACCGUGGCGACGAUGCGUAGGGGUUCUGAGAGGAAGGUCCCCCACACUGGUACUGAGACACGGACCAGACUCCUACGGGAGGCAGCAGUGAGGAAUAUUGGUCAAUGGGAGAGAUCCUGAACCAGCCAAGCCGCGUGAGGGAAGACGGCCCUAUGGGUUGUAAACCUCUUUUGUCGGAGAACAAAACCCGGGACGUGUCCCGGACUGCGUGUAUCCGAAGAAAAAGCAUCGGCUAACUCCGUGCCAGCAGCCGCGGUAAUACGGAGGAUGCGAGCGUUAUCCGGAUUUAUUGGGUUUAAAGGGUGCGUAGGCGGUCCGUUAAGUCAGCGGUAAAAUUGCGGGGCUCAACCCCGUCGAGCCGUUGAAACUGGCAGACUUGAGUUGGCGAGAAGUACGCGGAAUGCGCGGUGUAGCGGUGAAAUGCAUAGAUAUCGCGCAGAACUCCGAUUGCGAAGGCAGCGUACCGGCGCCACACUGACGCUGAGGCACGAAAGCGUGGGGAUCGAACAGGAUUAGAUACC